GGUGUGACCAAGUGGGACCAUUCUGUGUUAAGAGGUGGGCAGCACCUGCUUGUAAGAUUAGUUGACACGGAAGCUCUGCAUGAACACGUGAGAGAUCCAGUGGGCCUGAAGGACUUAGGACUGCUACCGCCUAUUGGGGUCACACCUCACAUUUUUGGAGAUGAAGCUACCUCCUUGUCAACAAUGGCUGUCAUUAAAGUCCUGUAGUUGGCACCCUCACAUAGUGAACUUGCUGAAGUCUCCUAAGGAUCUGCUAGUGUACAGCCCCACAGCUGUAUCAUUAAAGAUCUGGCCAAUGAGGAUUUUACACUGCAGUGUCAAAGGGUUAGCAUGAAGCAGGUGUGUGCAUUUGCUUUUUGGGACUCAGAAGCUGCAGCAGGUCUUGUUUCUCCAUGCUGUCUUCUCUUUGUGGGCUGACUAAUGAAAAUCUUAAUUAAAGGUUGUACAUGUAGGAUUCACGUUCAUAUUUUAUCCAUGUCCACGUAACAACAACAAUAGGGACGGACUAUACAGCCAGAGUCUGCCUUUCUCUGUUUCAUGGAGUCUACUUUUCAAAAUUUCUGCUCUAUUUUGAGACAUUUAUUUGCCUUUUCUUAUGGCUUUACCAGAAGUUUAACAUUAGCUCUUUGAUCUUUCUCUUUAUUCGGGCUAAGAAUUAAAAUCGGGGAAGGUCACAUCAGUACAGCCUGUCCUGUGUGGUCCAUAGGCAAACAAAAUGUUCGUAUUGACUACUUAAAUCAAAAGAAAAACAUUUACUUUUUCAUGUAUUUAUCAGCUCAAACAUUUGGCUUUUCUCUUUGAUGGGAAGUCUUGCUUUUGGGCGCAGCCAUCACACGGAAGCAUGGGAAUGCUGUUGUACUGCCAAUAGCAUUUGUUUGCCCCUACUUUAUUUAAUAUCCUCAUGUGAGCUAUACCAGAGUUACCCUAAUUUUAAACGCUUUAGAACCUGUCCAACUCUGUUAUGAGUAGUAUAUAUGCAGUGUCUGUCUACAUACUGGUAGAAGCAUUCAUAAAAGAAAACCACUAAACAAACAGCGCUUCCUAAUCUGCAGAGUUAAGAGAGUGCUUGAGUUCACAGCUUUGGAAUCUUUUGUUUCUAUUCAAAUCAGUGAGACCUAUUCUUAACCUAAGAACCUGUUGUAUUUCAAGCUGUUUUAACAAGGUCAUUUGUAGAGU
rnacentral:lncRNA from 7 species